AAAGGAAUAGACGGGGCCCCGCACAAGCAGCGGAGCGUGUGGUUUAAUUCGAUGCUACACGAAGAACCUUACCAGGGUUUGACAUGCAAGUGGUAGGAAGCUGAAAAGUGACCGACCCUUCGGGGAGCUUGCACAGGUGCUGCAUGGCUGUCGUCAGCUCGUGUCGUGAGAUGUUCGGUUAAGUCCGCUAACGAGCGCAACCCUCGCUGUGUGUUAUAUGUGUCACACGGGACUGCCGGUCUUAAGCCGGAGGAAGGUGGGGAUGAUGUCAAGUCAGCAUGGCCUUUAUAUCCUGGGCCACACACACGCUACAAUGGCCAGCACAAUAGGUUGCCAAACCGCGAGGUGGAGCCAAUCCAUAAAGCUGGUCUCAGUUCAGAUUGCAGGCUGAAACCCGCCUGCAUGAAGAUGGAGUUGCUAGUAACCGCAGGUCAGCUAUACUGCGGUGAAUACGUUCCCGGGGCUUGUACACACCGCCCGU
rnacentral:rRNA from 1 species